UGGGAACCUUCCCUAUGGUUCGGAAUAGCUCAGGGAAACUUGGGGUAAUACCGGAUAAGCCCUUCGGGGAAAGAUUUAUCGCCAUUGGAUGGGCCCGCGUCGGAUUAGCUAGUUGGUGAGGUAACGGCUCACCAAGGCAACGAUCCGUAGCUGGUCUGAGAGGAUGAUCAGCCACACUGGGACUGAGACACGGCCCAGACUCCUACGGGAGCAGCAG
rnacentral:rRNA from 1 species